AGGCCCUACGGGGCGCAUCAGGCGCGAAAACUUCGCAAUGCGCGAAAGCGUGACGAGGCUAGUCCGAGUGCCUCCUGCUAAAGGGGGCUUUUCUCGGCUGUAAAUAAGCCGGGGAAUAAGGGGAGGGCAAGUCUGGUGUCAGCCGCCGCGGUAAUACCAGCUCCUCGAGUGGUCGGGACGAUUAUUGGGCCUAAAGCACCCGUAGCCGGUUCCGUAAGUCCUCUGUUAAAUCCAGUCGCUCAACGUCUGGCCUGCAGAGGAUACUGCGGGACUAGGAGGCGGGAGAGGCGGACGGUACUCCGCGUGUAGGGGUAAAAUCCUUUGAUCCGCGGAAGACCACCAGUGGCGAAGGCGGUCCGCCAGAACGCGCUCGACGGUGAGGGGUGAAAGCUGGGGGAGCGAACCGGAUUAGAUACCCGGGUAGUCCCAGCCGUAAACGAUGCGAGCUAGAUGAUUCGAUCGCAGUUCGCGAUCGAAGUGUCGCAGGGAAGCCGUUAAGCUCGCCGCCUGGGGAGUACGGUCGCAAGGCUGAAUCGACGGGAGAGAAUAUUUUCCGUCGCAGUUCACUUAAAGGAAUUGGCGGGGGAGCACCACAAGGGGUGAAGCCUGCGGUUCAAUUGGAGUCAACGCCAGGAAACUUACCAGGAGCGACAGCAGGAUGAGAGUCAGGCUGAAGACUUUACUUGACGAGCUGAGAGGAGGUGCAUGGCCGUCGCCAGCUCGUGCCGUGAGGCGUCCUGUUAAGUCAGGCAACGAGCGAGACCCUUGCCGAUAAUUGCUAGCUGCCCAGCGAUGGGCGGAGGCUAGUUAUCGGGACUGCCGCUGCUAAAGCGGAGGAAGGAGAGGGCCACGGCAGAGGAUGUCGACGCCGCAUCCGCCGAGGUCAGUAUACGGUACACUCGGCUGAUCAUGGUGGUUUCCUGUUGGCGUUAAAUAGCUCCACAACUGCAUUCCAUCACGGAACACUUCGAAGAUGACGAACGACACGACAAACACGACAAACUCGAAAGUGCUGACGAGCUAGAUUACUUCAGGAGUUUAGCUCGAAAGUACGAACACAUCGAAGACACAGAAAGCAUCGAAAACGAACACCUUCGAGAACUGGGGUUCAACGAGGAAGCCUUGGAGCCCUACUACGCUGGGGUCGUGGCUUCCGAUGGGCACAUCGAACCUGACAACAACAGGUCCGUGGUUGCAAGCAGCAACCACGAGUUCAUUACAG
rnacentral:rRNA from 1 species